rnacentral:rRNA from 1 species
AGUGGGGAAUAUUGCACAAUGGGCGCAAGCCUGAUGCAGCGACGCCGCGUGCGGGAUGACGGCCUUCGGGUUGUAAACCGCUUUUGACUGGGAGCAAGCCCUUCGGGGUGAGUGUACCUUUCGAAUAAGCACCGGCUAACUACGUGCCAGCAGCCGCGGUAAUACGUAGGGUGCAAGCGUUAUCCGGAAUUAUUGGGCGUAAAGGGCUCGUAGGCGGUUCGUCGCGUCCGGUGUGAAAGUCCAUCGCUUAACGGUGGAUCCGCGCCGGGUACGGGCGGGCUUGAGUGCGGUAGGGGAGACUGGAAUUCCCGGUGUAACGGUGGAAUGUGUAGAUAUCGGGAAGAACACCAAUGGCGAAGGCAGGUCUCUGGGCCGUCACUGACGCUGAGGAGCGAAAGCGUGGGGAGCGAACAGGAUUAGAUACCCUGGUAGUCCACGCCGUAAACGGUGGAUGCUGGAUGUGGGGACCAUUCCACGGUCUCCGUGUCGGAGCCAACGCGUUAAGCAUCCCGCCUGGGGAGUACGGCCGCAAGGCUAAAACUCAAAGAAAUUGACGGGGGCCCGCACAAGCGGCGGAGCAUGCGGAUUAAUUCGAUGCAACGCGAAGAACCUUACCUGGGCUUGACAUGUUCCCGACAGCCGUAGAGAUACGGUCUCCCUUCGGGGCGGGUUCACAGGUGGUGCAUGGUCGUCGUCAGCUCGUGUCGUGAGAUGUUGGGUUAAGUCCCGCAACGAGCGCAACCCUCGCCCUGUGUUGCCAGCACGUCGUGGUGGGAACUCACGGGGGACCGCCGGGGUCAACUCGGAGGAAGGUGGGGAUGACGUCAGAUCAUCAUGCCCCUUACGUCCAGGGCUUCACGCAUGCUACAAUGGCCGGUACAACGGGAUGCGACACCGCGAGGUGGAGCGGAUCCCUUAAAACCGGUCUCAGUUCGGAUUGGAGUCUGCAACCCGACUCCAUGAAGGCGGAGUCGCUAGUAAUCGCGGAUCAGCAACGCCGCGGUGAAUGCGUUCCCGGGCCUUGUACACACCGCCCGUCAAGUCAUGAAAGUGGGUAGCACCCGAAGCCGGUGGCCCAACCUUUUUGGGGGGAGCCGUCUAAGGUGAGACUCGUGAUUGGGACUAAGUCGUAACAAGGUAGCCGUACCGGAAGGUGCGGCUG